AGAGAGUGCAAGCGUUAAUCAGAAUUACUGGGCGUAAAGCGCACGCAGGUGGAUAUUUAAGUCGGAUGUGAAAGCCCUGGGCUUAACCUAGGAACUGCAUUCGAUACUGGAUAUCUAGAGUAUGGUAGAGGGAAGUGGAAUUUCCGGUGUAGCGGUGAAAUGCGUAGAUAUCGGAAGGAACAUCAGUGGCGAAGGCGACUUCCUGGACCAAUACUGACACUCAGGUGCGAAAGCGUGGGGAGCAAACAGGAUUAGAGACCCUGGUAGUCCACGCCGUCAACGAUGAGAACUAGACGUUGGGGUUUAAUUACCUUAGUGUCGAAGCUAACGCGUUAAGUUCUCCGCCUGGGAGUACGGUCGCAAGAUUA
rnacentral:rRNA from 1 species